AUGAACGCUAGCUACAGGCUAACACAUGCAAGUCGAGGGGCAGCAUGAAGUCAGCUUGCUGACUUGAUGGCGACCGGCGCACGGGUGCGUAACACGUAUCCAAUCUACCCAUGGCUCAGGGAUAGCCUUUCGAAAGAAAGAUUAAUACCUGAUGGUUUCAUGAGUCCGCAUGGACUUAUGAAUAAAGAUUUAUCGGCGAUGGAUGAGGAUGCGUCCGAUUAGCUUGUUGGCGGGGUAACGGCCCACCAAGGCGACGAUCGGUAGGGGCUCUGAGAGGAGGAUCCCCCACAUUGGAACUGAGACACGGGCCAGACUCCUACGGGAGGCAGCAGUGAGGAAUAUUGGUCAAUGGCCGAGAGGCUGAACCAGCCAAGUAGCGUGCAGGAUGACGGCCCUACGGGUUGUAAACUGCUUUUGCGGGAGGAUAAAGCGCACUACGUGUAGUGCUUUGCAGGUAUCCCGUGAAUAAGGACCGGCUAAUUCCGUGCCAGCCGCGGC
rnacentral:rRNA from 1 species